AAAAUGUUAGUUAAUCAUAACAUUAGUAUGUCAUACUAAAAUUAUUAGAAUUUCUAAUACAUUUUU
rnacentral:tRNA from 1 species